GCCUGGGUGGCUUAGUAGAUUAAGCAUCAGACUUCAGCUCAGGUCAUGAUCUCACAGUUUGUGGGUUCAAGCCCCGUGUCAGGCU
rnacentral:tRNA from 1 species